rnacentral:tRNA from 1 species
GUGACUGUAGUUCAGUCGGUUAGAGCGUCAGAUUGUGGUUCUGAAUGUCGAGGGUUCGAGUCCCUUCAGUCACC